GAUGAACGCUAGCUACAGGCUUAACACAUGCAAGUCGAGGGGUAGCAGGGUAGCAAUACCGCUGACGACCGGCGCACGGGUGAGUAACACGUAUCCACCCUUCCCAUAACUCGGGGAUAGCCUUUCGAAAGAAAGAUUAAUACCCGAUAGUACUUUUUCAAGGCAUCUUGAGAAAGUUAAAGAUUUAUUGGUUAUGGAUGGGGAUGCGUUCCAUUAGAUAGUUGGUGAGGUAACGGCUCACCAAGUCUUCGAUGGAUAGGGGUUCUGAGAGGAAGGUCCCCCACAUUGGUACUGAGACACGGACCAAACUCCUACGGGAGGCAGCAGUGAGGAAUAUUGGUCAAUGGGCGAGAGCCUGAACCAGCCAAGUAGCGUGAAGGAUGAAGGUCCUAUGGAUUGUAAACUUCUUUUAUAGUAGAAUAAAGUGAUCCACGUGUGGAUUUUUGUAUGUAUACUAUGAAUAAGGAUCGGCUAACUCCGUGCCAGCAGCCGCCGUAA
rnacentral:rRNA from 1 species